UGAGCAAUCUGCCCUUCUCAUCGGAAUAAGCGUUGGAAACGACGUCUAAUGCCGAAUACGACCUCCUUUCGCAUGAUCGGAGGUGGAAAGCUCCGGCGGAGAAGGAUGAGCUCGCGGCCUAUCAGCUAGUUGGUGUGGGUAACGCCCACCAAGGCGACGACGGGUAGCCGGCCUGAGAGGGUGACCGACCACACUGGGACUGAGACACGGCCCAGACUUCCCGUACGGGGAGGNAGCG
rnacentral:rRNA from 1 species